UGAAGGGAACACGCUAUGGAAGUAGACCUAGCUGGACUUUAAAUCUAGUUCUGCUACUUGCUAUCUGUGUGGCAUUGGACAAGACAUUUCACCUUGUAAGCCUCAGAAUAUAUGUCUGUGAAGUACAAAGAGUGCUUCAGCUUAAGUGUUUGAGGACUUUAUAACAUUCCCAUUGUGAGUGCAGAGCUUCAAAAGUAUUUAUCAACAAUGUUAAAUGAAGCCACCUGUCACAAAAUUAACUGGUGCAAAGCUCAUUGUUAUAUUUGAUAACAUUUUCAUCUCUAUGAAAGAAAGCAAUGUUUCAUCUUGCCAUGAUUGGAAGCUUCCCGAGGCCUCCCGAGAAGCUGAUGCCACUAUGCUUCCUGAACAGCCUACAGAAACAUGAGCC